GUGAGUCAUCGAAUCUUUGAACGCACCUUGCGCUCCUUGGUAUUCCGAGGAGCAUGCCUGUUUGAGUGUCAUUAAAUUCUCAACCUUAUUAGCUUUUGUUAAUAAUGGAUUGGAUGUGGGGGGUUUCUUUUGCUGGCUUCUUCACAGAUAUCAGCUCCCCUUAAAUGCAUUAGCUGGUGCCCCGCGUGGACCAUCUAUUGGUGUGAUAAUUAUCUACGCCGUGGAUGUCUGCAAUCAUAUGGGUUUUGCACUGCUUCUAACCGUCUGUUCAUUCGGACAAUACAUGACAAUUUGACCUCAAAUCAGGUAGGACUACCCGCUGACCGAACUCCUCC
rnacentral:rRNA from 1 species